GACGAACGCUGGCGGCGUGCUUAACACAUGCAAGUCGAACGGACAGGCCCUGCUUUUGUGGGGUGCUCGAGUGGCGAACGGGUGAGUAACACGUGAGUAACCUGCCCUUGACUUUGGGAUAACUUCAGGAAACUGGGGCUAAUACCGGAUAGGAGCUCCUGCUGCAUGUUGUGGGUUGGAAAGUUUCGGCGGUUGGGGCUGGACUCGCGGCUUAUCAGCUUGUUGGUGUGGUAGUGGCUUACCAAGGCUUUGACGGGUAGCCGGCCUGAGAGGGUGACCGGCGACAUUGGGACUGAGAGACGGACCAGAAUCCUACGGGAGGCAGCAGGGGGGAAUAUUGCACAAUGGGCGGAAGCCUGAUGCAGAAACGCCGCGUGCGGGAUGACGGCCUUCGGGUGGUAAACCGCUUUCGACGGUGACGAAGAGUGAGUGACGGUAAUGGGUAAAGAAGCAACGGCUAACUACGUG
rnacentral:rRNA from 1 species